GAUGAACGCUAGCGACAGGCUUAACACAUGCAAGUCGAGGGGCAGCGAGGGCGUAGCAAUACGCCUGUCGGCGACCGGCGCACUGGUGAGUAACACGUAUGCGACCUGCCCCCUACAGGGGUAUAACCCGUAGAAAUGCGGACUAAUCCCCCAUAGUCCUGGGUGCUGCAUGGCAUUCGGGGGAAAGGUCAGCCGGUAGGGGAUGGGCAUGCGGCGCAUUAGCUAGUUGGCGGGGCAACGGCCCACCAAGGCGACGAUGCGUAGGGGUUCUGAGAGGAAGGUCCCCCACACUGGUACUGAGACACGGACCAGACUCCUACGGGAGGCAGCAGUGAGGAAUAUUGGUCAAUGGGCGCAGGCCUGAACCAGCCAAGUCGCGUGAGGGAAGACGGUCCUACGGAUUGUAAACCUCUUUUGUCGGGGAGUAACGUGCGGGACGGGUCCCGUAUUGAGAGUACCCGAAGAAAAAGCAUCGGCUAACUCCGUG
rnacentral:rRNA from 1 species